rnacentral:rRNA from 1 species
CCCUGAAAAUGGAUGGCGCUGGAGNGNNCCACUUAUUCCGGACCGUUUGGGCAAUGGUCUCUAAAGCCAAGCUCAAACGAGUAGGAGGGCCGCUGUGGUGAGCGUCGAAGCCUGAGACGUGAGUCUGGGUGGAG